AUUGAACGCUGGCGGCAUGCUUUACACAUGCAAGUCGAACGGUAACAGGCCUUCGGGUGCUGACGAGUGGCGAACGGGUGAGUAAUGCAUCGGAACGUACCCAGAGGUGGGGGAUAACGCAGCGAAAGCUGUGCUAAUACCGCAUGUGAUCUGAGGAUGAAAGCGGGUGACCGAGCAGCAAUGUUUGGCCUCGCGCCUUUGGAGCGGCCGAUGUCGGAUUAGCUAGUUGGUGGGGUAAAGGCCUACCAAGGCGACGAUCCGUAGCUGGUCUGAGAGGACGACCAGCCACACUGGGACUGAGACACGGCCCAGACUCCUACGGGAGGCAGCAGUGGGGAAUUUUGGACAAUGGGCGCAAGCCUGAUCCAGCAAUGCCGCGUGCGGGAAGAAGGCCUUCGGGUUGUAAACCGCUUUUGGCAGGAACGAAACGGUGUCCGCUAAUACCGGGCGCUAAUGACGGUACCUGCAGAAUAAGCACCGGCUAACUACGUG
rnacentral:rRNA from 1 species